rnacentral:tRNA from 2 species
GGGGUUCUAGCUCAUCGGUAGAGCGCUCGCUUAGCAUCCUGCUGAGUCAACAUGCGAGAGGUACAGGAUUCGACUCCCUGGUACUCCA